rnacentral:tmRNA from 1 species
UGGUGGAAGCGAGGGGGAUCGAACCCCUGUCCAAAAAACAAAACAACCGCAGCCUCUACAUACUUAGCAGAAGUGAAAAUUUCAUCUAAAAGGCUCACUUCCCAAAACCAAAAUUUAGACUAAGACUAAGCUUCGCUUUAAGGCUCGUCACACCCCAAAACUACACUACCUGGAUUACUCGCAGACCUUUUUAGAUAGUAUCAAAAGGCGCAAGGCUCAACUGAACUUACGCAGCUUUAGCGUAAGCAGGAGCGAAUUUAACGUUAUUUGCGUUUAAUUUUAAUUUAGGCUUUUUACGCUUUGCCAAAAGCGGUAUGCCACCACGACCACUCUGCUCCUGUCGAAGCCAAGUCGCUCCC